CAGCAGCCGCGGUAAUACAGAGGGUGCGAGCGUUAAUCGGAUUUACUGGGCGUAAAGCGUGCGUAGGCGGCUUUUUAAGUCGGAUGUGAAAUCCCUGAGCUUAACUUAGGAAUUGCAUUCGAUACUGGGAAGCUAGAGUAUGGGAGAGGAUGGUAGAAUUCCAGGUGUAGCGGUGAAAUGCGUAGAGAUCUGGAGGAAUACCGAUGGCGAAGGCAGCCAUCUGGCCUAAUACUGACGCUGAGGUACGAAAGCAUGGGGAGCAAACAGGAUUAGAUACCCCUGUAGUCCCUGUCUCUUAUAC
rnacentral:rRNA from 1 species